CUCCAUUUUGCUAUCUUCAGGAUAACAAAGACACAUAAUUUACUUGCUUUCACUAACCACUGAGCCUGAGCUAAGGAAUGCAUUAUAUAAACACAGACACUAGUGACAGAGAAGACUAAGUAAUUAAUUUUACUUACUAAAUUUUAUAAGGUUUCAUUGUAAGUAAGGGGUGAAAUUGAGUUAAGAACUGUCAAUUUUAGAAAUUAAGAUCAAAGUAGUUGCCACAAAGAGUGAGACAAACGCUUUGAACUGACAGCAAAUUUAAGUUAUGGUAGUCAUUUUAGAUAAGCCGAAUGACGUCAAAAUCGUCAUCAGGAAAAGUUAACUCUUUCCUGGAUAGGAAGGUUUAGUAAGGCGAGUCUGCCUUCUAUGGACCAAAUACCUAAAUUGCGAUCCAUAGAUUGAACACACCUUCAGUUUCCUAUUGGCUUUAUCAACUAAUGACGUACAGAGAGUCUGGCCCUUUAAAAGUUAGGACAACGGGAAGAGAGAAGUUAGUUGGUGAAGUUUGGGAAUUCAGAUUCGGACAUGCAGAGAGAGAUUCAGGACACUCUCUGGAACUAACACUCAACUCUUAAACUCCUUGACACUUAAAAUUUACUGAUACUUCUAACCAACACCACUUUUCUCUAUUACUCACGUACCUCCAUACAACCAAUCAUACUCGCAAGUUCCUGGGACUACCUACUCAUCUGAUGAGAAUACCUACAUAACUGGUAAUUAUGCUGGUUUUAUUUAAUUAAUCUAAAUUAAUUAAAAUUUACUAAUAGCAUGAUAUAUGACUGGAUAAAUCACGGUCAGAUUUCAAUAUUUAGAAAUCUUAGUUAACUAAAGAAUAUAUAGUUAUAAACAUUCCAUUCUGCAGGUGGAAUUAAGAAUAAUUAUAUAUUAAUGUGAUAGUAUCACGUGUUAGCAUACAGCUGUUUUUAUCCAGG